rnacentral:rRNA from 1 species
UUGAACGCUGGCGGUAUGCUUUACACAUGCAAGUCGAACGGAUUUUGGAGCUUGCUCCAAAGUUAGUGGCGAACGGGUGAGUAAUAUAUCGGAACAUAUCCGGAAGUGGGGGAUAACGUAGCGAAAGUUACGCUAAUACCGCAUAUGCCCUGAGGGGGAAAGGGGGGGAUCGCAAGACCUCUCGCUUUCGGAGUGGCCGAUAUCGGAUUAGCUAGUAGGUGAGGUAAAGGCUCACCUAGGCGACGAUCCGUAGCUGGUCUGAGAGGACGACCAGCCACACUGGAACUGAGACACGGUCCAGACUCCUACGGGAGGCAGCAGUGGGGAAUUUUGGACAAUGGGCGAAAGCCUGAUCCAGCCAUACCGCGUGAGUGAAGAAGGCCUUCGGGUUGUAAAGCUCUUUCAGCCGGAAAGAAAUCGCACUUCUUAAUACGGAGUGUGGAUGACGGUACCGGAAGAAGAAGCACCGGCUAACUACGUGCCAGCAGCCGCGGUAAUACGUAGGGUGCGAGCGUUAAUCGGAAUUACUGGGCGUAAAGCGUGCGCAGGCGGUUUUUUAAGACAGAUGUGAAAUCCCCGGGCUUAACCUGGGAACUGCAUUUGUGACUGGAAGGCUAGAGUACGGCAGAGGGGGGUAGAAUUCCACGUGUAGCAGUGAAAUGCGUAGAUAUGUGGAGGAAUACCGAUGGCGAAGGCAGCCCCCUGGGUCGAUACUGACGCUCAUGCACGAAAGCGUGGGGAGCAAACAGGAUUAGAUACCCUGGUAGUCCACGCCCUAAACGAUGUCAACUAGGUGUUGGGGGAGGAGACUUCCUUAGUACCGCAGCUAACGCGUGAAGUGACCCGC